CUUCAAGCAUGUCAGGAAACUGUCUUAUAUGGGACACUGACUGAAGGGAUGACGACUAACGUUACCACCAGAAAUAAAUGCUGAUAGGUACUGUAUCUGUAUUGGUUAUGAAAGACAGUUAUAAUAUUUGCACAUUGUUGUAUUAUCAGAACACUAAGGAUGGUUUACUCUACAUGGAACCGUUACACUUGAAAGUUAUCAAAACACUUUGUUUGGAAUAUCUACAUAAGUUCAGCAAUUUGCACUUUUCUCACAUUACUUUGUAGGCUACUGCUGGACCCUUGGUUUGAGGCAAACUCUGUCAUAUCCAGGAUGAAGUGUCAUGCACUCCACCCCUCCUGCCACCCGACUGCACCUGUACGUACAUGAAGACAGAACCUCACCCAGAGACCUGGGAAUGUCGAUGUACAAAAAAAACGAGAUGCCGAGAUGCAGCAGUGUGUAUAAAGAUUCUCCGGUGUCAGUGUCCGAGGGGUUGGCUGAGAGAGUUUUUAAGGUGACUGUGGAGAGGGCCAGAGCGGGGAGCUUCCCUUAUACUGCAUGCAUACAGCCAUGGAGCUAUCGAGAACACUCCCUGUGGUACAGCCAUUACUGGUAAGACGGAGAGAAAGAAGGGAUGAGGGAGGAGAUGUGUGUAGGUGGUGAGGAGGCAGAACAUGUCGUACCCUCUGUCCUGAAGAGGUUAGUGUGCGAGGGCGCUAACCUGCUACUCUCCCUCUGCUCCCUCUGAGGAAGAACAUCCUGGAAAACAUUACCUUCCUCUCCUUUUUGUGUAUUGUGUGUGUGUGUGUCCAGUUGUUUUAGUCUACUCAUAAAAGUGUGUUUGUCUUUCAAGAAAUUCCACAAAUUAACUUUUAACAAGGCACACCUACCUCAUGAAGCUGGUUGAGAGAAUGCCAAGAGUGUGCAAAUCUGUCAUCAAGGCAAAGGGUGGAAACUUUGAAUAAUCUCAAGUAUUAAGUGUUUUUUGAUUUGUUUAACACUUUUUUUGGUUGCUACGUGAUUCCAUAUGUGUUAUUUCAUAGUUUUGAUGUCUUCACUAUUAUUCUGCAAUGUAAAACAUUGCAAAAAUACAGAAAAACCCUUGAAUGAGAAGGUGUCUCCAAACUUUUGACUGGUACUGAAUGUGUAUGUAUGUACAGUAUAUGUCUAUAUACAGUGCAUUUGAAAUGUAUUGAGAACCCUUGACUUUUUCUACAUUUUGUUACAUUACAGCCUUAUUCUAAAAUUUAUUAAAUUGUUUUUUUCCCUCAUCAAUCUACACACAAUACCCCAUAAUGACAAAGCAAAAACACGGAUUUAGACAUUUCAGCAAAAAAAUAUCACAUUUACAUAAGUAUUCAGACCCUUCACUCAGUACUUUGUUGAAGCACCUUUGGCAGUGACUCCAGCCUCGAGUCGUCUUGGGUAUGAUACUACAAACUUAGCACACCUGUAUUUGGGGAGUUUCUCCCAUUCUUCUCUGCAGAUCCUCUCAAGCUCUGUUAGGUUGGAUGGGUUUUUAAAAUUAAUUUUUUAUUUCACCUUUAUUUAACCAGGUAGGCUAGUUGAGAACAAGUUCUCAUUUGCAACUGCGACCUGGCCAAGAUAAAGCAUAGCAGUGUGAACAGACAACACAGAGUUACACAUGGAGUAAACAAUUAACAAGUCAAUAACACAGUAGAAAAAAAAGGGGAGUCUAUAUACAUUGUGUGCAAAAGGCAUGAGGAGGUAGGCAAAUAAUUACAAUUUUGCAGAUUAACACUGGAGUGAUGAAUGAUCAGAUGGUCAUGUACAGGUAGAGAUAUUGGUGUGCAAAAGAGCAGAAAAGUAAAUAAAUAAAAACAGUAUGGGGAUGAGGUAGGUGAAAAUGGGUGGGCUAUUUACCAAUAGACUAUGUACAGCUGCAGCGAUCGGUUAGCUGCUCAGAUAGCUGAUGUUUGAAGUUGGUGAGGGAGAUAAAAGUCUCCAACUUCAGCGAUUUUUGCAAUUCGUUCCAGUCACAGGCAGCAGAGUACUGUGUUAUUGACUUGUUAAUUGUUUACUCCAUGUGUAACUCUUUGUUGUAUGCUCACACUGCUAUGCUUUAUCUUGGCCAGGUCGCAGUUGCAAAUGAGAACUUGUUCUCAACUAGCCUACCUGGUUAAAUAAAGGUGAAAAAAUAUAAAAAAAUAAAAAAAUGAACGAAACAGCCUAUACUUGUGUAAACUAACACAUAGACAGGAACAAGGACACCAAGGACAAUCACCCAUGACAAACUCAAAGAAUAUGGCUGCCUAAAUAUGGUUCCCAAUCAGAGACAACGAUAAACACCUGCCUCCGAUUGAGAACCACUCCAGACAGCCAUAGACUUUGCUAGAUCAACCCACUAGCUACAAUCCCAAUAUAUACACACCACAUACAAAAACCCAUGCCACACCCUGGCCUGACCCAAUACAUGAAUAUAAACACAAAAUACUUCUACCAGGGCGUGACAGUAGGCGAAUAAUUACAAUUUUGCAGAUUAACACUGGAGUGAUAAAUGAUCAGAUGGUCAUGUACAGGUAGAGAUAUUGGUGUGCAAAAAAGCAGAAAAGUAAAUAAAUAUAAACAGUAUGGGGAUGAAGUAGGUAAAAUUGGGUGGGCUAUUUACUGAUAGACUAUGUACAGCUGCAGCGAUCGGUUAGCUGCUCAGAUAGCAGAUGUUUGAAGUUGCUGCACAGGUUUUUUCAGGUCUCUCCAGAGGUGUUCGAUCGGGUUCAAGUCCGG
rnacentral:lncRNA from 1 species